UCUUGGUCAUUUAGAGGAAGUAAAAGUCGUAACAAGGUUUCCGUAGGUGAACCUGCGGAAGGAUCAUUACCGAAUCGUCAACAAGAGUUGUUGCUGGUCCUCAAAUGGGGGGGCAUGUGCACGCUCUGUUCACACAUCCACUCACACCCUGUGCACCCUCUGUAGUUCUAUGGUCAGGGGGCCUGUCCUCCUGCUGUGGUUCUGCAUCUUUACACACACACACCGUAACAAAGUCUCAUGGAAUGCAUGCCGCGUUUAACGCAAUACAAUACAACUUUCAGCAACGGAUCUCUUGGCUCUCGCAUCGAUGAAGAACGCAGCGAAAUGCGAUAAGUAAUGUGAAUUGCAGAAUUCAGUGAAUCAUCGAAUCUUUGAACGCACCUUGCGCCCUUUGGACAUUCUGAAGGGCAUGCCUGUUUGAGUAUCAUGAACACACCUCAACUCUUUAUGGUCUUCCAUGAUGAGCUUGGACUUUGGGGGUUUUGCUGGCCUACGGUCUCGGCUCCUCUGAAAUAAAUCAGCUUACCAGUGUUUGGUGGGUAUCAUGGGUGUGAUAACUAUCUACGCUCGUGGUUUUCCACCGGGUAACCUUCAGCAGUGGAGGUUCGCUGGAGCUCACAGAUGUCUCUCCUCAGUGAGGACAGCCCUUUGAAUGUUUGAUCUCAAAUCAGGUAGGACUACCCGCUGAACUUAAGCAUAUCAAUAAGCGGAGGAAAAGAAACUAACAAGGAUUCCCCUAGUAACUGCGAGUGAAGCGGGAAGAGCUCAAAUUUAAAAUCUGGCGUGCCUCCGGUCGU
rnacentral:rRNA from 1 species